rnacentral:misc_RNA from 1 species
UCCUGGUUUCCCAGGCAGUCCUGCCAGAGUGCGCCCCGAAGGACUAGCAACUGACAGCAGGGGUUGCGCUCGUUAAAGGACUUAACCCAACAUCUCACGACACGAGCUGACGACAGCCAUGCAGCACCUGUGUAUAUGUCCAAGCAAGCUUGGAACUCCUACUUUCAUAGGACAGCAUAUACAUGUCAAGCCUAGGUAAGGUUUCUCGCGUAGUGUCGAAUUAAACCACAUGUUCCACCGCUUGUGCGGACCCCCGUCAAUUCCUUUGAGUUUUAGCCUUGCGGCCGUAAUUCCCAGGCGGAUCACUUAACGCGUUUGCUACGACACAGAUCUCGCAAAGCAAGACCUACAUCUAGUGAUCAUCGUUUACAGCGUGGACUAC